rnacentral:rRNA from 1 species
GACGGAAGGGGCAAGCGUUGUCCGGACUCACUGGGCGUAAAGCGUGCGUAGGUGGUGCGAUGCGCCGGCGCUGAAAGCGCCCGGCUUACCCGGGCGACGGGCGACGAUACGAUCGCUCUGGAGGCAGGGAGACGUUGGUGGAAUUCCGGGUGUAGUGGUGAAAUGCGUAGAGAUCCGGAGGAAUGCCGGUGGCGUAAGCGGCCAACGAGUCCUGACCUGACACUGAGGCACGAAAGCGUGGGGAGCAAACCGG